rnacentral:rRNA from 1 species
UACGUAGGGGGCAAGCGUUGUCCGGAAUUAUUGGGCGUAAAGAGCUCGUAGGCGGUCUGUCGCGUCGAUCGUGAAAACUUGGGGCUUAACCCUGAGCUUGCGGUCGAUACGGGCAUGACUGGAGUUCGGCAGGGGAGACUGGAAUUCCUGGUGUAGCGGUGAAAUGCGCAGAUAUCAGGAGGAACACCGGUGGCGAAGGCGGCCAUCUGGACAGAUACUGACGCUGAGACGCGAAAGCGUGGGGAGCAAACAGG